rnacentral:piRNA from 1 species
UUUGGGACUCCCAGGGUGGCGGCUAC